UACGAAGGGGGCUAGCGUUACUCGGAUUGACUGGGCGUAAAGGGCGCGUGGGCGGCUUGUACAGUCAGACGUGAAAUUCCUGGGCUCAACCUGGGGGCUGCGUUUGAUACGUGCGGGCUUGAGUUCGGAAGAGGGUCGUGGAAUUCCCAGUGUAGAGGUGAAAGUUCGUAGAUAUUGGGAAGAACACCGGUGGCGAAGGCGGCGACCUGGUCCGAUACUGACGCUGAGGCGCGAAAGCGUGGGGAGCAAACAGG
rnacentral:rRNA from 1 species